UACGGAGGAUCCGAGCGUUAUCCGGAGUUAUUGGGUUUAAAGGGUGCGUAGGCGGAGUGGUAAGUCAGCUGUGAAAGGUUACGGCUUAACCGUGAAAUUGCAGUUGAUACUGUUGGACUCGAGUAUACAUGAGGAGGGUGGAAUUUGUGGUGUAGCGGUGAAAUGCUUAGAUAUCACAAAGAAUUCCAAUUGCGAAGGCAGCUCACUGGGGUAUAUCUGACGCUGAUGCACGAAGGUGUGGGUAUCAAACAGG
rnacentral:rRNA from 1 species